rnacentral:rRNA from 1 species
UACAGAGGGUGCAAGCGUUGCUCGGAUUUACUGGGCGUAAAGCGUACGCAGGCGGCUUGGUAGGUCGGAUGUGAAAGCCCCGGGCUCAACCCGGGAAUUGCAUCCGAAACCACCUCGCUCGAGUGUGGGAGAGGGAAGCGGAAUUCCUGGUGUAGAGGUGAAAUUCGUAGAUAUCAGGAGGAACACCGGCGGCGAAGGCGGCUUCCUGGCCCAUUACUGACGUUCAGGUACGAAAGCGUGGGUAGCAAACAGG